UACGUAGGGUGCAAGCGUUGUCCGGAAUUAUUGGGCGUAAAGAGCUCGUAGGCGGUUUGUCGCGUCUGCUGUGAAAACUCGGGGCUUAACCCUGGGCUUGCAGUGGAUACGGGCAGACUAGAGGCAGGUAGGGGAGAAUGGAAUUCCCGGUGUAGCGGUGAAAUGCGCAGAUAUCGGGAGGAACACCGGUGGCGAAGGCGGUUCUCUGGGCCUGACCUGACGCUGAGGAGCGAAAGCGUGGGGAGCGAACAGG
rnacentral:rRNA from 1 species